rnacentral:rRNA from 1 species
ACGAACGCUGGCGGCGUGCCUAAUACAUGCAAGUAGAACGCUGAAGAGAGGAGCUUGCUCUUCUUGGAUGAGUUGCGAACGGGUGAGUAACGCGUAGGUAACCUGCCUUGUAGCGGGGGAUAACUAUUGGAAACGAUAGCUAAUACCGCAUAACAAUGGAUGACACAUGUCAUUUAUUUGAAAGGGGCAAUUGUUCCACUCCAAGAUGGACCUGCGUUGUAUUAGCUAGUAGGUGAGGUAAUGGCUCACCUAGGCGACGAUACAUAGCCGACCUGAGAGGGUGAUCGGCCACACUGGGACUGAGACACGGCCCAGACUCCUACGGGAGGCAGCAGUAGGGAAUCUUCGGCAAUGGGGGCAACCCUGACCGAGCAACGCCGCGUGAGUGAAGAAGGUUUUCGGAUCGUAAAGCUCUGUUGUAAGUCAAGAACGGGUGUGAGAGUGGAAAGUUCACACUGUGACGGUAGCUUACCAGAAAGGGACGGCUAACUACGUG